rnacentral:rRNA from 1 species
UACGUAGGUGACAAGCGUUGUCCGGAUUUACUGGGCGUAAGGAGCGCGCAGGCGGUCGUUCAAGUCGAGUGUGAAAGCCCCCGGCUCAACUGGGGAGGGUCACUCGAUACUGAUCGACUCGAAGGCAGGAGAGGGAAGUGGAAUUCCCGGUGUAGUGGUGAAAUGCGUAGAUAUCGGGAGGAACACCAGUGGCGAAGGCGACUUCCUGGCCUGUUCUUGACGCUGAGGCGCGAAAGCUAGGGGAGCAAACGGG